AUAAAACAUCUGAAUCCACGAACUAAACAAAGCCUGAGUUGUCGAUCAUCUUUUCCACUUGCCCAAAUAACUAUACACAUUGAUAACGAUUACGUAUGAUAGGAACACUUGGUCACAUAAAUGAACGAGUGAUUUUAACCAUUGGGUUUCGACUUGGAGUGCUUCAGUAAAAUACGUUGUACGUGUAGUCGUGCUCGUCGGGGCAAAAAAAAAAAUGUAACAGGAAAGAUUGUGAAUGAAAUACCAACUAGUGUGAAACUGUGAACGGCCAGCAGGCCAAGUCAAGCAUGCAAAAACCGGUGGCUCCUCUGAUUCACAAAACUGCAUGGAACUCCGCUCCCGCCCAUUAACUGGUAGGUGACCAACAAACAAAGCAACUAGUGCCGCACGCUCACCGCUCACCAGUCAGGCCUAUUUAAGCGAGAGACCCUUGCCACAUCCAGCCUCUAGACUCUGAUCGCUGCCGCCGGCGAACAGCGUCACAGAAGAAGCUCGAGACUCUACCAUGGCGACAGAGGCGUCCAGGCGAUUCAGGUUCCAGGUUGAGAUGCACUGCCGCUGCAUUGGCUGCGUCAGGAAGGUGGAGAAGGCCAUGGCGUCCAUUGGGAGGUUCAGUGGUAGUACAUCCUUACUAGCUGUUCAUCUCCUCUCACUCUAUAUAGAUUCUGCAAAUCAGAACAAAGGUUUUUCUUUUGUGACACAGGAGCUGAAACUUCUGUGGGGGAUGUCAACAGCGGGAUUGUCACGGUGGUUGGAAAGGUGAACCCAACAGAGAUUUGCCACUGGUUGAAGAGGAAGACGAAGAAAAAUGUCAAAGUUGUGUACCCUGAUACUACAACCGAGGAUCACAAACAGGUACUUGCUGUAUGGUAAUAGAGUAGAGUGAAAAUGAAUGGCAACAAGAUGUCAAUUUUCUAGAUGAAUAUCUUUCAAUAUGAAUACUUUGAUAUCCAUUCGACUACGACGUGUACAGUAUGCCGAAUAGAAUGAAAGUGCUUUGACACAGAUCAAAGCACGUUAUCAGAAGAUUAAAUGGCGUUAGACUACAAAACCAUGUCAAAAUCUGACAAAGCUGCGCAGCAGACAUAGACUGGUUAACUAUGUGUAACGGUCCAUGGUUCCU